GAUGAACGCUGACGGCGUGCCUAAUACAUGCAAGUCGAGCGAACAGACGAGGAGCUUGCUCCUCUGACGUUAGCGGCGGACGGGUGAGUAACACGUGGAUAACCUACCUAUAAGACUGGGAUAACUUCGGGAAACCGGAGCUAAUACCGGAUAAUAUAUUGAACCGCAUGGUUCAAUAGUGAAAGACGGUUUUGCUGUCACUUAUAGAUGGAUCCGCGCCGCAUUAGCUAGUUGGUAAGGUAACGGCUUACCAAGGCGACGAUGCGUAGCCGACCUGAGAGGGGGGGCGGCCAACUGGGAACUAGAAACCGGCCCAAACCCAUAGGGGGGGCAGAAGGAGGGAAUUUUCCGCAAUGGGCGAAAGCCUGACGGGGCAACCCCGGGGGAGGGAUGAAGGUUUUCGGAUUGUAAAACUUUGUUUUUAGGGAAGAAAAAAUGUUUAAGUAACUAUCCACGUUUUGACGGGACCAAAUCAGAAAGCCCCGGCUAACUACGU
rnacentral:rRNA from 1 species